UACGAGUGGUGCAAGCGUUAUUCGGAUUUAUUGGGCGUAAAGGGUGCGUAGACGGUUUAUUAAGUCACUUGUUAAAUUCUCUGGCCUAACUGGAGGCAAGCGGGUGAAACUGGUGAACUAGAGGGUGGAAGAGAGAAGUGGAAUUCUCGGAGUAGCGGUAAAAUGCGUAGAUCUCGAGAGGAACACCAAUGGCGAAGGCAGCUUCUUGGUCCAUACCUGACGUUCAAGUACGAAAGCGUGGGGAGCAAACAGGAUUAG
rnacentral:rRNA from 1 species